rnacentral:rRNA from 1 species
GAAUACCAGUGGCGAAGGCGGCCUUCUGGACUGACACUGACGCUGAGGUGCGAAAGCGUGGGUAGCAAACAGGAUUAGAUACCCUGGUAGUCCACGCCGUAAACGAUGUCGACUAGCCGUUGGGCUCCUUGAGAGCUUUGUGGCGCAGUUAACGCGAUAAGUCGACCGCCUGGGGAGUACGGCCGCAAGGUUAAAACUCAAAUGAAUUGACGGGGGCCCGCACAAGCGGUGGAGCAUGUGGUUUAAUUCGAUGCAACGCGAAGAACCUUACCUACCCUUGACAUCGAGAGAACUUUCCAGAGAUGGAUUGGUGCCUUCGGGAACUCUCAGACAGGUGCUGCAUGGCUGUCGUCAGCUCGUGUUGUGAAAUGUUGGGUUAAGUCCCGUAACGAGCGCAACCCUUGUCCCUAUUUGCCAGCGAUUCGGUCGGGAACUCUAGGGAGACUGCCGGUGACAAACCGGAGGAAGGUGGGGACGACGUCAAGUCAUCAUGGCCCUUACGGGUAGGGCUACACACGUGCUACAAUGGCCGGUACAAUGGGUUGCGAAUCCGCGAGGUGGAGCUAAUCCCAUAAAGCCGGUCUCAGUCCGGAUCGGAGUCUGCAACUCGACUCCGUGAAGUCGGAAUCGCUAGUAAUCGUGAAUCAGAAUGUCACGGUGAAUACGUUCCCGGGCCUUGUACACACCGCCCGUCACACCAUGGGAGUGGACUGCACCAGAAGUGGUUAGCC